UGUUGACAUAAAAGCCAAACUCUGUAAAAUAUUUAAACAGGUUUAUCCUGAGCCAAUAUCAGUGACCAUGGUCCAGGGAACAGUCUCAAGAGGUCCUGAGUACAUGCACCUGAGACUACCAGAGACAGUUCUUCUGGGACCACUCUUCUUGUCUCUGACUCCCAGGAGAGUAUCCAAAGGCUGAGAAUUGCGCAAAGAGAAGACGAUGCAACUCUGGAGGCAGAGAUUGGAACAAUGUGGCCACAAGUCAAGGAAUGCCAGCAGCUGCCAGAAGCUGGAAGAGGUUUCUCCUGAUGACCAGAAGUUGACUUCACCAAGACAAAGUGAACUAGACUGUGAGGUUUCUUCAUUUAUAUGUAGUUUGUCUCAUUGUUGCAUCAUUAUCAUAAACUGGGG